AGGGAGUAAAAUAGACUUCCUUUUCAUAAAAUAAAAAAAUAGAGUAAAUAAUAGGUUGAAAGUUCCCUAACUAUAAAUAAAGACAUAAUAGGUUAGUUUUUAUAUUUACGAUACAUCUCUACAUUCUCUCCUCCUCUCAAAUUCGUUUUCCCCUUCCCCAUUUCCCAAAAUUCUCUCUUUUCCUACAUACACUCAAAUCUAUCCUAGUAAAACUAUGAUCCUAAACACGUUAACCGUUGAAUCGUUGUGAAAUUUGAACACCAAGUUCAUAACUCAUUUUCACACAUCCACACUGUUGGGAUUUGCAAAAUAAUAUCUAUGGUGAGAGAAAUGUCCCUCGCAUGGAGCUCUCUUUUUCCCAUAUACACCCAAAUCUGUCUCAGUAAAACUACGAUUCUAGACUCGUUAACUGUUGGAUCAUCGUGAAAUUUGAUAACCAUGUUUGGAACUCAUUUUCACACAUCCCCACCAUUGGGAUUCGCGAAUUAAUGUGUGUGGUGAGACAAAUAUCCCUCGCACGGAGACAGUGAAGUGGAGGCUCCAAUUCUUUCUCCUUCUUUCUAAUGCUUGAAAACCCUAGGAGAGCAACCAGAGGAAAAGUUUGAGGAAUCUUAGGGAACCGCUAGAGAUACUACUAUCAUUGUCGAACUACACACGUGAGCCCGCUUAGAGGUAAGGGAUGAGUUUAUUGCAAUUGGGGUUAGAAUGAAUAUGUGUAGGGAUCCUUAGAAAAUCAAAUUGAGGUUUAUUUUGGAAUGUUUAUUGUAUUGUUAUUGUAAUUCAUCCUUUAUGAUUAUAAUUAGGAUAUUGUUGUAUUUGACGAAUCAAUUGAUACCCUGAUAUGAAUUGGUUGAUAAAUUGAGUGCUCUUGGUGUUUUUGUAUUUUUUUUCUAUGAUUUUGAUUCUUUUGAUUUUGAUAUAAUUAUGUGAAAUUAUUUGAAAGGUUUUAUUCCCCAUGUUAAGAGAAACAUUUUUGUAUAAUUUGUUUGUGUUUUGGACAAGAUUUACUAUAUUAGAGUGAUAAAUUGUUAUAUUGGGAUCAUGAAAUUAUGAUUAAAAUUGUGUGUAAGUGAUAAAUUGAAUAUGUAAUGAAUUGUGAGACGUUAAAUUGUGGACACGGGAUAUGGUUAUGAAUAAGUGUAUGGUUAAUACUUGAUGUGACAUUGCUUGUGUUGUGAGUUGUGAAUUAUACAAUAACC
rnacentral:lncRNA from 1 species